rnacentral:misc_RNA from 1 species
AAGUCGUAACAAGGUUUCCGUAGGUGAACCUGCGGAAGGAUCAUUAAAGAGUAGAAAAAUUUUACAUUGUGCAAGACAGUACUAUAAAUUUAAUUAAUGAGAAAAAUUUAAUAGAGACAACUUUCAGCAAUGGAUCUCUUGGCUCUU